GCUCGUGCCCGGUGUUUACUUACAUAGCAUAUCAAUUUCAUUGAUAUGCUAUGUAAGUAAACACCGGGCUGUGGG
rnacentral:pre_miRNA from 1 species